AGCAGUAGCCGCGGGAAUACAGAGGGUGCGAGCGUUAAUCGGAUUUACUGGGCGUAAAGCGUGCGUAGGCGGCUUCUUAAGUCGGAUGUGAAAUCCCUUAGCUUAACUUAGGAAUUGCAUUCGAUACUGGGAAGCUAGAGUAUGGGAGAGGAUGGUAGAAUUCCAGGUGUAGCGGUGAAAUGCGUAGAGAUCUGGAGGAAUACCGAUGGCGAAGGCAGCCAUCUGGCCUAAUACUGACGCUGAGGUACGAAAGCAUGGGGAGCAAACAGGAUUAGAUACCCGUGUAGUCCCUGUCUCUUAUAC
rnacentral:rRNA from 1 species